UGGGGAAUCUUAGACAAUGGGGGAAACCCUGAUCUAGCCAUGCCGCGUGAGUGACGAAGGCCCUAGGGUCGUAAAGCUCUUUCAGCUGUGAAGAUAAUGACGGUAGCAGCAGAAGAAACCCCGGCUAACUCCGUGCCAGCAGCCGCGGUAAUACGGAGGGGGUUAGCGUUGUUCGGAAUUACUGGGCGUAAAGCGCGCGUAGGCGGACUGUUAAGUCAGAGGUGAAAUCCCAGGGCUCAACCCUGGAACUGCCUUUGAUACUGGCAGUCUUGAGUUCGAGAGAGGUGAGUGGAAUUCCGAGUGUAGAGGUGAAAUUCGUAGAUAUUCGGAGGAACACCAGUGGCGAAGGCGGCUCACUGGCUCGAUACUGACGCUGAGGUGCGAAAGUGUGGGGAGCAAACAGGAUUAGAUACCCCCGUAGUCC
rnacentral:rRNA from 1 species